GGUGAAUGCUUCUGUCUCCCCCUGCUGCCAACAACAAUGAUGAUGAUGCGCACAGCAAUGAGAGAGAUAUACAACAUCCGGGUGAGAUAGCUAGUCUAGGACAGUGCAACAAACAUAAAAUAUAUCUGUGUAUUAUUGAAUAGCUGCUUUUUAUCAUCACAGUGUUAUUGCUGAACAACCUCAUUGUCAAUUUUGAUAGCUUGGUUUGACUGUAUGAUUUAUGUGUACUUAUACAGUACAGUAGUCACCAAAUAAGCAAACUAUUAUUUUUCUAUCAUCCCUCUGUAUUUCUAGGCCAGCUUAAUUGAUGACUGGGCAGUGCACAUGUUCUGUGGACCCUGUGCUCUAUGUCAGAUGGCAAGAGAGAUGAAACACCAGCUGGGUUGAGAUUGAAAGGCAAUCAAUCCAUUUUAGUUUUGGGGGUCUGUGUAUACCUAAUGAAAUAAGAAGAAACACACUGAUGCCUUUAUAUUUCAUACAGUAUCUGAUGAAUUCCAAGUGAAUAAGUCAUGCAUGGAAUUUACAAAAAGGCCUAAUAAACCUGCAUGUACGAUUAUACAACUUUUGAAGGACAAUUAGACUAUUGUGCACAACCAUAAAACGUGUUUUUGUUUAUAUUCUUGCACAUGCAGCUGUCAAUUUGACUAUUGAUUAUUGUUUGUUGCUAAAACAAUGACAAAGUAAAGUACAAUUAAUAUACAUGAGGAAAUACUCUCACAGAAUUUUCGAUACAUUUCCAUAGUAAUGGCAAUGGAUGGAGGCAUGAUCGUGGCUGUGGAAUGCAAUUUAUGAACCACCGUUGCCUAGUAACAUCCAAAGCGCCGAAGCGUGCCAUAACCGUAAGCAAACUUUCUAGCUAAGGUAGGCUUGUUUGGUAACCUCUAGGGUAGUUGCAGGAAAUAUGUGCAACGUAUUUCAAGACGCCACUACAAGCCAACCAAGAACUUUAGCUGGGGGCCAGUUUGCCGGGAUCCAGAAAAAGACAUGGAGCUCUGGCGUGAUGGAUUGCUGUGUCGACAGAGAUGUUUGUCUCUGUGGAUUUUUCUGUCCAUGCAUUCAGGCCGUUAAGAUGGCAGAGAAAUACGGAGAAUGUUUCCUACUCUCUCAUGUUCCAUGGACACAUUUUAUGUUGCGAACCAGCAUUCGGGAGCGGUAUAACAUAGAGGACUGCUGUGAAUUUGGCAUCCUGCUCAGGACUGAAGUGAUUUUUCCAGUCCCCAGCAACCCCUGAAAGAACAAGGAGAAUGUGCUUUAAUUGAACUUUGAAAUACAUGGAAGCAAAGAGCGGUUGCAGUAGCGUAUCACUGCAUGAUGAGAGAACAUUACGCUACUAGCAGCAUUCUGGGUUCCUAUCCCACUGC